rnacentral:rRNA from 1 species
CCUACGGGAGGCAGCAGUGAGGAAUAUUGGUCAAUGGGCUUACGCCUGAACCAGCCAAGUCGCGUGAGGGAAGACUGCCCUAUGGGUUGUAAACCUCUUUUGUCAGGGAGCAACGCCGGCUACGUGUAGCCGGACUGAGAGUACCUGAAGAAAAAGCAUCGGCUAACUCCGUGCCAGCAGCCGAGGUAAUACGGAGGAUGCGAGCGUUAUCCGGAGUUAUUGGGUUAAAAGGGUGCGUAGGCGGAAUGCCAAGUCAGCGGUAAAAUCGCGGGGCUCAACCUCGCUCCGCCGUUGAAACUGGCGUUCUUGAGUGGGCGAGAAGUAUGCGGAAUGCGUGGUGUAGCGGUGAAAUGCAUAGAUAUCACGCAGAACUCCGAUUGCGAAGGCAGCAUACCGGCGCCCAACUGACGCUGAAGCACGAAAGCGUGGGUAUCGAACAGGAUUAGAUACCCCUGUAGUC